rnacentral:rRNA from 1 species
AGGGUUUGAUUAUGGCUCAGGAUGAACGCUAGCGACAGGCUUAACACAUGCAAGUCGAGGGGCAGCGGGGGAUAAGCUUGCUUUUCCUGCCGGCGACCGGCGCACGGGUGAGUAACACGUAUGCAACCUGCCCCUGUCAGAGGGAUAAUCCGGAGAAAUCCGGUCUAAUAUCGCAUAAAGCGUUUGCGGGGCAUCCUGCGAGCGCCAAAGGAGUAAUCCGGACAGGGAUGGGCAUGCGGCGCAUUAGCUAGUUGGGGGGGUAACGGCCCACCAAGGCGACGAUGCGUAGGGGUUCUGAGAGGAAGGUCCCCCACAUUGGUACUGAGACACGGACCAA